rnacentral:lncRNA from 1 species
GGGAGAGCCAGUUAGGAGGUCAGGAGUUUCCUGCAGCAAUNAUGGAUGAAUGGAUGGUGAAUGGGGGGGGGGUGGGAGGGAGGGGGGGGGGGGGUGGGCUCCUGGAAUCUGCAGAGCUCCUAUGUAAGAAGAAUGGGAUUUCCAGAUUCUUUACAAGACAAAUACACCAUCCGUCAUUCUCCUCUGGGAAACAAAAGAAUGCAUGCAAGGAAAUGCAGUAGGAACUGUGAUGUUGGUGGUCUUGUGUUAAAAACAACUUGCCGUAUGUCGAACAAGCGAUCCUUAAAUGAUUUGGAGGCGAUCAACACUUACAGUCAAAACACGUUGUCCAGCUUUAUUAGUCGCUCUUGUGGACUGAUGACGGGCCCAUUCGUGCUUCACAGGCCACCAGCCUUGGGUGCACCAGUCGCACACACGAGACACGAAUGUACCUAGAAGGUCAGUGGGGUAAGGGAGUGAGGGAAGGGGGCAGAGACAAAGAGCGGGGCCGGGAGGCCCUGCCAGCAGGCUGGGGCUGUGGUCACCGUGAGUACAUGGGGGGGGGCGGGGGGAGCCACCUGGGGAGGUGGCCGACCAAGGAGAUCAGAGGGCUCAGAGAACAUAUUUCACAGGCUUGUUCUGGAGGGGUUAGCUAUGGUGAUAGCCUUGCGGGCUUCUGGCUGCUUAGAAUGCAAUGACCCGGUGACCCCUCGUUUCGGCAAGGUACAGCUCCGUUACAGAACUGGAGAAAUGUCACUCUUGCCAGAGGCCUCAGCAGGGAAGGAAGCAGGGAUGCGUGCUUUGAGAACUCUGCGAGCUAAGACGUUGUCUGGGAAUGUCCACGUCACUCUGGAGAAAGCAGGGCCCUGUUUCUCACGAAGCAAUCAUUCCUGGAAGCUGACUUGCUUUAUCCAUGCUCUAUCAAUCUGCCACCUUUUAGGAGAACUAAAUCUAGUCCAAACAUUUUUAUAAUGCCAUUUGAUAGUUUGAAACCAAGUCAUAUUUUAUCGGCCCACAUUGUCAUAGUUCCAACAGAGAGGCUAAAGAACUGCCCUCUAAACAUGAAGUUAAAAAAAAACUCAAAAAACUUGUGUUCCUCAUUAGCCACAGACUUUAAAUUUCACUGUUGGAACUUCCUCAACUUAGACAAAUUUAGGUGAAACAGCUUUAAUGGUGGACAUUCUUACAACUGUUCACAUUUGAUGUGCAUACUGAGAAAUGUUCUCUCCACGAAGUUGGAUUUGCUGUCCUCAAACCCCAAAACUUACACAAUAGUGAUAAGAGGAACAAAAUACGAACAAAAGGAUUAGGUGCUCUGAAAAAUCAGCUAUAUCCUGCAGGAGUUUGGUAUUGAAAACCCAAGGAUUCUAAAGCCUAAGAGGCGAGGGCACCUGGGUGGCUCGGUCAGUCAAGCGGCUGGCUCUGGAUUUGGGCUCAGGUCAUGAUCUCAGGGUCCUGGGAUCAAGCCCUGCCUUGAGCUCCCUACUCAGUGGGGAGUCUGCUUGAGGAUUCUCUCUCCCCUUCUGCCCCUCCCUCCACUCAUGAUCUCUAAAAUAAAUAAAAUAAAUCUUUAAAAAAAAGUCUGAGC